UAGGGAAUCUUCCACAAUGGACGCAAGUCUGAUGGAGCAACGCCGCGUGAGUGAAGAAGGUUUUCGGAUCGUAAAGCUCUGUUGUUGGUGAAGAAGGAUAGAGGCAGUAACUGGUCUUUAUUUGACGGUACUCAACCAGAAAGUCACGGCUAACUACGUGCCAGCAGCCGCGGUAAUACGUAGGUGGCAAGCGUUGUCCGGAUUUAUUGGGCGUAAAGCGAGCGUAGGCGGAAUGAUAAGUCUGAUGUGAAAGCCCACGGCUCAACCGGGGAACUGCAUCGGAAACUGUCAUUCUUGAGUGCAGAAGAGGAGAGUGGAAUUCCAUGUGUAGCGGUGGAAUGCGUAGAUAUAUGGAAGAACACCAGUGGCGAAGGCGGCUCUCUGGUCUGCAACUGACGCUGAGGCUCGAAAGCAUGGGUAGCGAACAGG
rnacentral:rRNA from 1 species